GACGAACGCUGGCGGCGUGCUUAACACAUGCAAGUCGAACGGAAAGGCCCUGCUUGCAGGGUACUCGAGUGGCGAACGGGUGAGUAACACGUGGGUGAUCUGCCCUGCACUUCGGGAUAAGCCUGGGAAACUGGGUCUAAUACCGGAUAGGAGCCAUUUUUAGUGUGAUGGUUGGAAAGUUUUUUCGGUGUAGGAUGAGCUCGCGGCCUAUCAGCUUGUUGGUGGGGUAAUGGCCUACCAAGGCGGCGACGGGUAGCCGGCCUGGGAGGGUGGACGGCCACAUUGGGGCUGAGAUACGGCCCAGACUCCUACGGGAGGCAGCAGUGGGGAAGAUUGCACAAUGGGCGCAAGCCUGAUGCAGCGACGCCGCGGGGGGGAUGACGGGCUUCGGGUUGUAAACUCCUUUCGCUAGGGACGAAGCUUUUUGUGACGGUACCUAGAUAAGAAGCACCGGCUAACUACGUG
rnacentral:rRNA from 1 species